UACGGGGGGGCGAAGCGUUGUUCGGAAUUACUGGGCGUAAAGGGCUCGUAGGCGGCCAACUAAGUCAGACGUGAAAUCCCCAGGCUCAACCUGGGAACUGCGUCUGAUACUGGAUGGCUUGAAUCCGGGAGAGGGAUGCAGAAUUCCAGGUGUAGCGGUGAAAUGCGUUGAUAUCGACCGGAACUCCGGUGGCGAAGGCGAGGCGCUGGAUCCUUCUGACGCUGAGGCGCGAAAGCCAGGGGAGCAAAGCGGG
rnacentral:rRNA from 1 species